rnacentral:lncRNA from 7 species
AGGGGGCAAUAGGGGGCGCUGUGAGGAGAUAGGGGGAGAUAUGGGGAGAUAUGGGCGAUAGGGGGAGAUAUGGGGAGAUAGGGAGAGAUGGGGGCGCUGUGGGGAGAUAUGGGGUGAUAUGGGGCGCUAUGGGGUGAUAUGAGGAGGUAUGGGGCUAUAUGGGGAGAUAUGGGGCACUAUGGGGAGAUAGGGGGUGCUGUGGAGAGAUAAUAGGGGACGCUGUGAGGAGAUAUGGGGAGAUAUGGGGAGAUAUGGGGAGAUAGGGGGAGAUAGGGGGAGAUUUGGGGUGCUAUGGGGAGAUAUGGGAAUAUAUGGGGCGCUAUGGGGAGAUAGGGGGCGCUGUGGGGUGAUAGGGGGCGCUAUGGGGUGAUAUGGGGAGGUAUGGGAGAUAUGGGGAGGUAUGGGGUGCUAUGGGGAGAUAUGGGGCGCAAUGGGGGAAUAUGGCGAGAUAUGGGGAGAUAGGGGGAGAUAGGGGGAGGUAUGGGCGCUAUGGGAAGAUAGGGGGAGAUAUGGGGCGCUAUGGGGAGAUAGGGGGCACAAUGGGGAGAUAGGGGGCGCGAUGGGGAGAUAGGGGGCGAUAUGCGGCACUAUGGGGCGCUAUGGGGCAAUAUGGGGUGAUAUGAGGAGGUAUGGGGUUAUAUGGGGAGAUAUGGGGCGUAUAGGAGAUAUGGGGCGUUAUGGGGAGAUAGGGGCGAUAUGGGGAGAUAUGGGGAGAUAUGGGGGUGCUAUGGGGUGCUUAUGGGUGAUAAGGGGUGCUAUGGGGAGAUAUGGGGCGCUAUGGGCCAAUCUGGGGUGAUAUGAGGAGGUAUGGGAUUAUAUGGGGAGAUAUGGGGCUGUAUAGGAAGAUAUGGGGCGUUAUGGGGAGAUAAGGGGCGAUAUGGGGAGAUAUGGGGAGAUAUGGGGCGCUAUGGGGAGAUAUGGGGAGAUAUGGGGCGCUAUGGGGCAAUAUGGGGCGCUAUGGGUAGAUAUGGGGCACUAUGGGAAGAUAUGGGGCGCUAUGGGGAGAUAGGGGGCGCCAUGGGGUUCUAUGGGGUCCCAGUGGUUCCCUAUGGGUCCCAAUGGUUCCCAAUGUGUCCCAAUGUGUCCCUAUGGGGUCUCAGUGGGUCCCAGUGUGUCCCUAUGGGUCCCAGUGUGUGCGUAUGGUCCCAGCAGGAGGCGUCCCAUGGGGCGGUGGGGGGCGCUGUGGGUCCCAAUGUGUCCCUAUGGGUCUCAAUGGUUCCCUAUGGUCCCAAUGUGUCCCUAUGGUCCCAGUGUGUCCCUAUGGGUCUCAAUGGUUCCCUAUGGUCCCAAUGUGUCCCAAUGUGUCCCUAUGGGUCCCAAUGUGUCCCUAUGGGGUCUCAGUGGGUCCCAGUGUGUCUGUAUGGUCCCAGCAGGAGGCGUCCCAUGGGGCGGAGGGGGCGGUGCUGUGGGUCCCAAUGUGUCCCUAUGGGUCCCAAUGUGUCCCUAUGGGGUCUCAGUGGUUCCCUAUGGUCCCAAUGUGUCCCUAUGGGUCUCAAUGUGUCCCUAUGGUCCCAAUGUGUCCCUAUGGGUCCCUAUGUGUCUGUAUGGGUCCCUAUGGGAUCUCAGUGGUUCCCUAUGUGUCCCUAUGGGGUCUCAAUGGUUCCCUAUGUGUCCCUAUGGGUCCCAAUGUGUCCCUAUGGUCCCUAUAUGUCCCUAUGGGUCCCAAUGUAUCCCUAUGGGGUAACAGUGGUUCCCUAUGGCUCUCAAUGUGUCCCUAUGGUCCCAAUGUGUCCCUAUGGUCCCAAUGUGUCCCUAUGGGUCUCAAUGGUUCCCUAUGGGUCCCAGUGUGUCCCUAUGGGUCUCAGUGGUUCCCUAUGGGUCCCAAUGUGUCCCUAUGGGUCCCAAUGUGUCCCUAUGGGUCUCAAUGGUUCCCUAUGGGUCCCAGUGUGUCCCUAUGGGUCUCAGUGGUUCCCUAUGGGUCCCAAUGUGUCCCUAUGGGUCCCAAUGUGUCCCUAUGGGUCUCAAUGGUUCCCUAUGGGUCCCAGUGUGUCCCUAUGGGUCUCAGUGGUUCCCUAUGGGUCCCAAUGUGUCCCUAUGGGUCCCAGUGUGUCCCUAUGGGUCCCUAUAUGUAUGUCCCUAUGGGUCCCUAUAUGUCCCUAUGGGUCCCAGUGUGUCUGUAUGGUCCCAGCAGGAGGCGUCCCAUGGGGCGGAGGGGGCGGCGCUGUGGGUCCCAAUGUGUCCCUAUGGGUUCCUAUAUGUCCCUAUGGGUCCCAAUGUGUCCCUAUGGGUCCCAGUGUGUGCGUAUGGUCCCAGCAGGAGGUGUCCCAUGGGGCGGUGGGGGCGGCACUGUGGGUCCCAAUGUGUCCCUAUGGGUCUCAGUGGUUCCCUAUGGGUCCCUAUAUGUCCCUAUGGGUCCCAGUGUGUCUGUAUGGUCCCAGCAGGAGGCGUCCCAUGGGGUGGUGGGGGUGGCGCUGUGGGUCCCAAUGUGUCCCUAUGGUCCCAAUGUGUCCCAAAGUGUCCCAAUGUGUCCCUAUGGGUCCCAAUGUGUCCUUAUGGUCCCAAUGUGUCCCUAUGGGUCCCAAUGUGUCCCUAUGGGUCCCUAUAUGUCCCUAUGGGUCCCAGUGUGUCUGUGUGGUCCCAGCAGGAGGCGUCCCAUGGGGCGGUGGGGGCGGCGCUGCCCCCCGCGCUGCAGCCCUAUGGUUCCCCCCCCCGGGGCCGCCUGCGGGUGGUGGGGGCGGGGCGGGCGCUGGCGGGCGCCUAUCAGUGCCGCGUGGACAACGGGGUGGGACCCCCCGCAACCGCACUCAUCCGCCUCGUCGUCACCUGUGAGUGGGGGGGAUGGGGGGCGGCGUGGGGUGGCGUUGGGGGCACCUUUGGGGUGGCAUUGGGGUGGCAUUGGGGUGGCAUUGGGGGCACCUUUGGGGUGGGAUUGGGGUGGCAUUGGGGUGGGAUUGGGGCACCUUUGGGGUGGGAUUGGGGUGGCAUUGGGGUGGGAUUGGGGGCACCUUUGGGGUGGGAUUGGGGUGGCAUUGGGGUGGCGUUGGGGUGGGAUUGGGGUGGGAUUGGGGGCACCUUUGGGGUGGGAUUGGGGUGGCAUUGGGGUGGUAUUGGGGGCACCACUGGUAUUGGGGCGGGAUUGGGGUGGUAUUGGGGCAGUAUUGGGGGCACCAUUGGGGGCGGUAUUGGGGGCACCAGUGGGGUGGUAUUGGGGCAAUAUUGGGGUGAUAUUGGGGGCACCAUUGGGGUGGUAUUGGGGUGGUAUUGGGGUGGUAUUGGGGGCACCUUUGGGGCGGUAUUGGGGUGGGAUUGGGGUGGUAUUGGGGUGGCAUUGGGGGCGGUAUUGGGGUGGUAUUGGGGUGGCAUUGGGGUGGUAUUGGGGUGGCGUUGGGGGCACCUUUGGGGUGGCAUUGGGGGUGGUAUUGGGGUGGCAUUGGGGUGGCAUUGGGGUGGCGUUGGGGACACCUUUGGGGUGGGAUUGGGAUGGUAUUGGGCUGGGAUUGGGGUGGGAUUGGGGUGGUAUUGGGGGCACCUUUGGGGUGGGAUUGGGGUGGUCUUGGGGUGGUCUUGGGGUGGCAUUGGGGGCACCUUUGGUAUUGGGGUGGCAUUGGGGUGGUAAUGGGGGCACCAUUGGUAUUGGGGUGGUAUUGGGGUGGUGUUGGGGGCGGUAG